UGUAGGAGAAUAAAUUUGAAAGUUGCGCCAAGGUGACGUCAGACAGUGACGUACUUAAAUCUGUUGGUCACUUCUAAGAAGGUUAUUGGUUACAAGUGCUUAUGUAUAUAGAGAAUAAAGAGCGUGUGUUUGAAAACGAAAA